GGAUUUAGCUCAGUUGGGAGAGCGCCAGACUGAAGAAUACACUUCGGUCAAGUAAUCUGGAGGUCCUGUGUUCGAUCCACAGAAUUCGCA
rnacentral:tRNA from 1 species